rnacentral:rRNA from 1 species
UUCUUUGCUGACGAGUGGCGGACGGGUGAGUAAUGCUUGGGGAUCUGGCUUAUGGAGGGGGAUAACGACGGGAAACUGUCGCUAAUACCGCGUAAUGUCUAAGGACUAGAGGGUGGGACUUUCGGGCCACCUGCCAUAAGAUGAGCCCAAGUGGGAUUAGGUAGUUGGUGGGGUAAAGGCCUACCAAGCCGACGAUCUCUAGCUGGUCUGAGAGGAUGACCAGCCACACUGGAACUGAGACACGGUCCAGACUCCUACGGGAGGCAGCAGUGGGGAAUAUUGCACAAUGGGGGGAACCCUGAUGCAGCCAUGCCGCGUGAAUGAAGAAGGCCUUCGGGUUGUAAAGUUCUUUCGGUGAUGAGGAAGGGUGAUGUUUUAAUAGAGCAUUACAUUGACGUUAGUCACAGAAGAAGCACCGGCUAACUCCGUGCCAGCAGCCGCGGUAAUACGGAGGGUGCGAGCGUUAAUCGGAAUGACUGGGCGUAAAGGGCACGCAGGCGGUGACUUAAGUGAGAUGUGAAAGCCCCGAGCUUAACUUGGGAAUUGCAUUUCAUACUGGGUUGCUAGAGUAUUUUAGGGAGGGGUAGAAUUCCACGUGUAGCGGUGAAAUGCGUAGAGAUGUGGAGGAAUACCGAAGGCGAAGGCAGCCCCUUGGGAAAAUACUGACGCUCAUGUGCGAAAGCGUGGGGAGCAAACAGGAUUAGAUACCCUGGUAGUC